GGCAGUUCUCAGGUGACGCACCCCAGAAUAGGGCUCCCUCCUCUCUGGUUCCAGGUGUGUCACCUGAGAACCGCA
rfam:Myotis brandtii contig238306, whole genome shotgun sequence.